CCCGAGCCAAAGUCGGACGCUCAACUGACUGAGCCACCCAGUGAUAAGAUGAUAAAAUGCACACGUGAUGACAUUAAGUGUGGUGAACAAUCUAAGCAUUGUGACAUGGCGAUAGGCUGAUACUGACUUCUGAGGAUAAGUCAGAAGGAGGAUCAUCGGCUUCCCAACUACAUCAAAAUCACCAAAAAAGAAACUGCAGAUGUGGGCGGGGGGACUAUUCUACAUUGCUGUUACAGCGUGGAAGGUGCAACAGACCACACGCAAAUAAGUGAGUAUGGCUGUGUUCUAAUAAAAUUAUCUACAAAUAUAGGUGGUGAGUGAGUCAGACUUGCCUUGGGGGUUAUAUAGCCUGUGAAUCCCUGAAGAAGAUAAUGGCCCAAAAGCCUAUGAAAAAAUACUCAAUAUAUUAAUCAUCAGGAAAUACAAACUAAAACCAUAGUGAGAUAUCAGUACCUACUCAGAACACUAGAAUGACAAAAAUUAAAAAGACUAUCCAAACCAAGUAAUGGCAAGGACGUGGAGCAACUACAUACCAAGUAGAUGUUUAUACGGAGAAUGUUUAUAUACUACUGAUGGGAAUGUAAAGUUAUGCAACCACUUUGGAAAUGGUCUGGUAGUUUCUUAAAAAGUUAACCAUGACUCAGCAAUUCCAUUUUUGGGUAUUUUCCGAAGAAAAUAAAAACACGUGUCCACACAAAGAGUUGCUUUAUUCAUAACAAGCAAAAAGUAGUAAAAAAAAUAAAAAUAAAAACAAAACAAAACAAAAAA